rnacentral:lncRNA from 10 species
UGGUGGACCAGAGAAAGACAUGAGCAGGAGUGUGUAGGUGAUUGUGCCCUAGAUAUGUGGAAAGGCACUGGUGUGGGGACAGGAAGGUGUGGGGGCUGGAGGCACGGAGUGAGGAUGUUCAACAGCAUGAAGUGUAGAGAAUCAACAGCCUUCACAUCCAGACUUCACGAAAUUUAAGGAAUGAUCUUGUCUGGUCACAUUCCAGAAGCAGGAGGAAAAAAAAAUAGCAUUUCUGAAGCCAAUGAGUGCCAGUCACUUGAAGAUGGUAAUCUGAACAGGAAGAGCACUGUGACUUACUACUGUCCUUCAGAGAAAAAGGAAGAGGUGCACGUCACAGACGGGAAGUCAGUGAACCAGAGGCAAAGUGAAGUUUAUAGCAUGAACGACUUGUUUUUUUGGUACAAUCCUGUACAUUAAUUGUUACCAGCACGUAUCUCGGAGCUCCUGUCCACACAAUAGUCAUUACUAACACCUGAGUUGAUCUGCACAAGGGCACGGAUUACACGGAAAAAGACAAGUGUUCCCACAUUUUCUAUUACCUGGAGAAGAUUCUUCCUUAAAUGUUAGAAGAAUUGAUCGCUUACUGGGGGGAAGCCAGCUGCCGUGUCAUGAGUGCCCACUGUGGAAAUGAACUGAAACCUCCUGCCGACAGCCACCCAGGUGAGCUUGGAAUUGGAUGCUCCAGUCCAGCCAAACCCUCAGUUUACUGUAACCCCAGUUGACAGCUUGGCUACUACCUCCCGGGACACCCUGAAGCAGAACCACCCAGCUAAGCUCCUCCUGAAUUCCUGACUCACAGAAACUAUGCAAGAUAAUAAAUAUUUGUUGUUUUAUCUCUUUAAGUUUUGCGGUAAUUUGUUAUGAAGCAAUAAAUAACUAAUAGACUACCCAUGAAUUAAUUCUUUUACUAAUUCAUUUAUUCAACAAGUACCUGUUAAAGUCUACAGUCUUUCAAUCUCUGUAACACACUUCAGUGCGAUAAUAAAACAAUAUAUC